UGAAACCGUUUAGGGGUAAACCUGAGAAACCCGAAAGGUCGAAGGGAGAAAUUCAUUCGCGUCUCGACGUCGACAUCGGAUGUUAUUUGCGACGGCGAUGCGUUUACGUAUCGCUCGCGCUUUUCGUCCGACGAGUCGAAGACGAACGCGUGCACUUUUCUCCUGGUAGGACGUCGCGAUCCGUUGGGUGUCGAUCUACGAUUCGUGGUGGAGCCCGUUGGCGGCGUUUCGGCGCUCGUCGACGGACCCGCGAUAUCCGAUCGACUAUCUCGACGGUAUACGAACGGUUGGGGGCCGCUUCAUAGCGUCCGGCCGAUGGCAAGCGCUCCGCGGUUUCGUCGGCGAUCGGACCCGGUGCCGAUUCCGACACCCGGUGACUGUUGGCCGUCGUGUUCUCGGACAGACCUCCUUUUAAAAUAAAAACCGAUCUGCGACGCUAUAGCUUUGGGUAAUUUCAGGACCCGUCUUGAAACACGGACCAAGGAGUCUAGCAUGUACGCGAGUCAUUUGGAAUCGAUAAACCAAAAGGCGAAAUGAAAGUAAAAGAUCUUCCUCGCGGAGAUCGAGGGAAGAGGGGCGGUCAUCGUCUAAUAAACGAUCCGUCUCGCAUUCCCGGGGCGUCUCGUUCUCAUCGCGAGAUGAGGCGCACCAAGAGCGUACACGCUGGGACCCGAAAGAUGGUGAACUAUGCCUGGUCAGGAUGAA
rnacentral:rRNA from 1 species